rnacentral:rRNA from 1 species
CCUACGGGGUGCAGCAGUGAGGAAUAUUGGUCAAUGGACGAGAGUCUGAACCAGCCAAGUAGCGUGAAGGAUGACUGCCCUAUGGGUUGUAAACUUCUUUUAUAAAGGAAUAAAACGAGGCACGUGUGCCUUUUUGCAUGUACUUUAUGAAUAAGGAUCGGCUAACUCCGUGCCAGCAGCCGCGGUAAUACGGAGGAUCCGAGCGUUAUCCGGAUUUAUUGGGUUUAAAGGGAGCGUAGAUGGGUUGUUAAGUCAGUUGUGAAAGUUUGCGGCUCAACCGUAAAAUUGCAAGUGAUACUGGCAGUCGUGAGUACAGUUGAGGUAGGCGGAAUUCGUGGUGUAGCGGUGAAAUGCUGAGAUAUCACGAAGAACCCCGAUUGCGAAGGCAGCUUACUAAACUGUGACUGACAUUGAUGCUCGAAAGUGUGGGUAUCAAACAGGAUUAGAUACCCGGGUAGUC